rnacentral:rRNA from 1 species
CCUACGGGGAGCAGCAGUAGGGACUUUUCGGCAAUGGGGGGAACCCUUACCGAGCAACGCCGCGUGAACGAAGAAGUUAUUCGUAAUGUAAAGUUCUUUUAACAGGGAAGAAAGAGAAAUUUGCCGGUACCUGAGUAAGAAGCCCCGGCUAACUACGUGCCAGCAGCCGCGGUAAUACGUAGGGGGCAAGCGUUAUCCGGAAUUACUGGGUGUAAAGGGGGCGUAGACGGUAAUGCAAGUCUGGAUUGAAAGGCGGGGGCCCAACCCCCGGACUGCUCUGGAAACUGUGUAACUGGAGUGCAGGAGAGGCAGGCGGAAUUCCUAGUGUAGCGGUGAAAUGCGUAGAUAUUAGGAGGAACACCAGUGGCGAAGGCGGCCUGCUGGACUGUAACUGACGUUGAGGCUCGAAAGCGUGGGGAGCAAACAGGAUUAGAUACCCCAGUAGUC